rnacentral:lncRNA from 1 species
CUUGGUUUAUGGAAAGCGUUUGCCUCUGAGAUAGUGUCUAAUAUCAGCUCUCUCCUCGGAAAGAUGGUGUGUGUGUGUGUGUGUGUGUGUGUGUGUGUGUGUGUAGCCACACUUGCUUGACAGUAGAAUAUUAGCAGGCAAGAGAGCAAGGCUUGGCUACCUGCUAGCUCAUGGGUGACAGACACAGGGAGAGCAAAGUCUAGCUGGGAAUCUCAGCCAGCCUGUGAUGCUCUACAACACACACUCAGAAAAGGCCUCGGCCUGGGGAAGGGCUCAGAGUCAGAGUGCAAGUUUAGCCUGCUCAAGGCUCUGCUUUUGAUGCAGACGGAGAAUGAAACGGGAGCAGGAAGAAAGGAAGAGAUGGCCUCUGUGGGGUGUGGACUGAGGGGCUUUCACAGAGCAACAGGUGGACUGACCCCAGGUUGUCAGGCUUGUGACAAGCACCAUUCGUUGACACACAAAGUACUUCUUCAAGUGUGGGCAGGGAAUACCUGCAAAGUGCCUCAGAAUCACUGAAGGUGGUUCCCGGGGCCCUCACAUAGUAGAAAGGAAUACUUUAGGCUAGCAAGGGAGAAACAGACCAUGGAUUGUAAGACCUUAUUUAUUUAUUUUUUCCAGUACUGAGGAUUGAACCCAGGGCCUCAGGCAUGCUAGGCAAAGUUUUACCAAUGAGCAGCCACCACCCCACCACCCCCCAUACCAGACUUUAAUGAGUUCUUUGACUCCUAUGGACAAUAGCUGUUUUGCUUUGGUUUGGUUUUGCCCUGUAGCUUUUUGGAGAUUAUUGGCUUGUUUCUAUUUUACAUGUGUGAAUAUUUUGCCCGCAUGCACCACAUGUGAAAU